GCUGGGCGCGGUGGCUCACGCCUGUAAUCCCAGCUACUUGGGAGGCUGAGGUGGGAGAAUGGCUUGAACCUGGGAGGCAGAGGUUGCAGUGAGCCGAGAUGGCGCCCCUGCACUCCAGCCUGGGUGAGAGAGACACUGGCUCCCACCUCAAGAUCGUUUUAGUUGGUCCAGUGUAAGCCUGGGUAUCUGGACUUUUUUAUUUUUUAUUUUUAUUUUUUGAGACGGCGUCUUGCUCUGUCACCCAGGCUGGAGUGCAAUGGCGCAAUCUCGGGUCACUGCAACCUCUGCCUCCCAGGUUCAAGUGAUUCUCCCGCCUCAG
rfam:Homo sapiens chromosome 19 genomic contig, GRCh38 reference assembly alternate locus group ALT_REF_LOCI_5.